ACUAUGGCCAUAUAAUUCUCUCAAGGUCACAUGGCUUGUGGCAGAGCCAAGAUUUGAGAACAAGCCUUUCUCUGCAGCCCGGACACUCCUACCACCGAAGCCACUGAUUGAUCAAAUGGGUCCCUCACCACUGGCCCUGUGCAUCUCCAGGUUCUCUGUGAAAACGUGUUGAUCACCUCUGCGAUACUUAUUAGGACAGGCAGUUCACAUAGGUACUGAUUAGAGCCACUGGAUUGCCCAGGAGUUCCUGGAAAGGACAAAGGGAUCCACUGGCUGCUCUCACUCUGUGCCUGUCUGAAUGUGCAUCCAAGUAUUCAUGUGUGGCCUGUGAUGCCCCCAGAAUCUGGCUGCCAGCCCUCCACUCCAUCACCACAGCCCCUUGGGUCCCACAGUCUGGACUGCCUUUCUUCAUGGCAGUUACGGAGGUCCGGUCAUGGCCCCUUCUGCAAACCAGCUUCCUGUCUGCAGGAAGGAGCUGCUCCUGCUACCUAGCUCUGUCUCUGGGAGCAGCUUUGGCCAGAGAAGGGCCAGCAGAGUGGGUUGUUCAGCUAGCUGCUCUGUCUGUUUAUGCUGUUGUGGAUGGAACAUGACAGGCCGCCUGUGCACAGCCAGUAAACCUGUGAGAAUUUAGGUAAUAAUAUAAGCAGCAUGCAUAGGCUCUGGAGUUGACCAGAUCAUAACUAGCUGUGUGGCUUUUGGCAGGUGGUUUAAUCUCUCUGAGCCUCCUUGUUUUCAUCCAUAAAAUGGGCAUAAGGAUGCCAACCUUACAGCAGCACUAUGAGCGUUAAAUAUAAAGCAUUUGUUGCCACAUGGGCAAAUGGACAUGAUAAAAAAUGUAAGUUUCCUCACUUAGGAAGAAAGAAAGUCUUUAUUUGGGGAAGGGGAAGUUUACCUUUAAGUUUAUAAAAAAAAAAUUAGUUUGUCUCUAUUAGAUCAAUAUGGGAAAAAUCACUACAUUAGGAUCCCCAAACUCCCCCAUCCAGUCUGUCCCAGGCAGACUUCAGGACAUGCACCUUGCUUGGUCCACAUGGUAAAUUUGAACCCAGUUAAAAUCAGAGGUUUCUUAACACAAUAAUCCUGUGAUUUCAGAGUAGUCUUCUUUAUUAUGAUUUUUUGAAAGGCCAUGCUUAAUAUAUUGCCUCUAUACCUUGGUUUCCUUAUCCCAGAGGGUAAAGAGUAGACCUGUGUCCUUAAAUUGGCCCCUUCUGGGGACAGUUAUCUGUAAUUCCAAGGUCUCCUCAGUCUUUUAUCCCUUUGCCCCUGAAUUGCUGGCAUCUCCCUAACACAGCCUAGCACUGGCACAUAAUAAGUGCUCAAGAAACCUAGAAUGACUCCCAAGCUUCAUUUCUCACCUUAGUUUAUCUUUAUUACGUCCCUCCCCAGCCACCCACUGCUGCAAGUGGAGCAGAAAUUCCCAUCUGCUGAGCUCUGCCUCUCUCGAGCAGCUUUGAUGGUGCCCCUCCCUGCCUGGCCUCCCCCGAGCCCUGCUGUGUGCACAUUUUCUCAGCUCUAAUAGAUUGUGUGUGCGGACACUUGAUUAGAAAGGUGUGCUUACAGAUAAAAGCAAGACAGGAACAGUAAAACUGCCUCCACUGUACAAACUCGGCUCUAAUUCUACCGCAAAUGAUCCCCAAAGCUUAAAGAGGCUCACAACCUUGGCUCCCAGCCCCUACCUAGAGGUCUGCAGGGAAAAGAAUGUUUUUAAAUCAAGGACAAAACUUUGGCCUGAGCAGCUUGCAGGGACUCUGGGCUCUCAAUAGAGAAAUCUACCGUUCAGUGCAGACUUUGCCCACGAGAAGAAUUCUCUGCAAACAUCACCAAAGGCUGACCCCUGGCGAGUGCUUCUCUUCAUCCAAAGCACUUUGUUUGGUGGCUGAAUAUAAACUUAGUACUUGGACAUGGUGUGUCUGCAGUCCCAGACACAGCCGCCUUCACCUCUUCAAAGGACUGUCUGCAGCCCUACAAGUCCUCUAGUGAGCGCUAUUCAGUUUACUAAUAAAUGGCCUUGACUUGGGUCUGCCUUCCCCACCCAGCCACCUGGCUGCUGCCAACUCUAUCCAGGGCCUCUGGGGCUCCAGUGAGAUGCUGUGGGGCCCAGUACUCUUUCUUCUAAGAAGCUGUUGCUCUCUGUCUUUCCAG
ensembl:lncRNA